GGACCAGAAUUGAUUCAGCAAACAACAGAAAAGGUGAAACUGAUACAGGAAAGGAUGAAGGCAUCACAGAGCAGACAGAAGUCUUAUGCAGACCAUAGGCGAAGGCCUCUUGAGUUUGAAGUGGGAAGUCACGUGUUUCUACGAGUUUCUCAGAUGACUGGAGUAGGGAGAGCUAUCAGAUCCAAGAAGUUAUCUCCGAAGUUUCUUGGUCCAUUCCAAGUUAUCAAGAGAAUUGGACCAGUAGCAUAUGAGAUUGCACUACCUCCUCAACUGGCAAACUUGCACAAUGUAUUUCACGUAUCUCAAUUGAGGAAAUAUGUGUCAAGUCCUGAUCAUGUACUCGAAGUGGAUGACGUUCAAGUCAGAGAAGAUUUGUCAUUAGACGCAAAACCAGUACGGAUUCUUGAUGUUCAGGCGAAGCAACUAAGAGGAAAGGAUAUUCGUACAGUCAAAGUAUUGUGGAAUGAGAAGACCCAAGAAAUGACUUGGGAAUUGGAAGAAGAAAUGAAGAACUUCUAUCCUCAUUUAUUUGAUUAAAGAGUGUAUUUUUCGAGGACGAAAAAUUUUAAAGGUGGGGAGAAUGUAAGACCCUGAAAAAUUAAAGGAAAAUGUGAAUCUCGGGUCAUUAGUAGAGUAAGAAACCAAAAAAUGUAUCAAGUUGUAACAAAAGUUAAAGUUAUAUGCAAAAUACAAUGCUGUCAACUUUGACAUGGUUUGGUAUUUUAAUUAUAAUUAAUUGUACAAAUUAGAUAUUAAGUUGAUUCUUUUUCGAUUAGAAAGUAGACUCGAAUAGCUUCGAUUCGAGUACUUAUACGCGUAAUUCCGACAUCGGGAAGGGGUUCAACCGGACUGACAAAGUUGUCAAAAUCAGACUCACUCGCUGUACGCGUUUUGGACGCGUUUUGAACGCGUUUUGACUCAGUAAACGCGUUUUACUAUUUAAACACGUUUUUCUGGUUAUUUAAGAGGGUUUUGGGGCUGAGAGAAUUCCUAAGUUGAAUCUGAGAACUGUUACCUAAAAGCGUUGGACCAGAGAAGUUUUAGAGCUAAGUUUGGAGCCACGAGAAGGAAUUCUAAGGCAGAGGAACGUCGGGGAACCGUUUGAAAGCAAGCUUAGGAGAAAACCAAGUCGGUGAUAUGCCGGUGGAGCAAGCCUUAGAUGGAGGAUCGACUGAAGAAUAGUUUUAAUAAUGAAACCUAUGUUUUUAUUUCUGUUUUAAGGUGUGGAGUGUAAUUAGUUUGAAUUAACAGUGAGGGUUUGUAUAAUAAUGAGGAAAAACUCUUAUUCCUCCUUCUAUCAACUGUUCUAUUGUAUCAAUGAUGUAAGAACUCUAUUAUAGUUUGAUGCUAUAAUUAUGGGGA